rnacentral:lncRNA from 1 species
CUUUCGGAGCUGUGCGGCAUUCUGAGCAGGAAUGGCAGUGUGGACCUCUGUGAUGGGACAUCUUGUGGGAUCUCACAGCCAGUUCUGUGGCAAAGGAGGAUGAAGGCUUACGAGGACUCGUCAGGAAGCUGGAUAACAGAGCGAGCGCAAUUUAACUGGUUGCAUGCUUGUUCAUUUGGCUGGCUUGCUUGGGUACAAAUAAUGGUUUGAAUAAAGAAAGGUAUUAAUGGGUCACCUCAAGUGAAGGCACUGCAAACACAAUGAUUGGUCAUUCUGAAUUUCCGGUCCUUCAUUCUGAAUUUCAAAGGCUCCUGUGACAAGUGGACAUGCAGUGACUGCACCUUUGUUUCUGAGGUGCCUGGAUGGAGGCUCAAAUAGAAGAUGGUGUCAGAUAUAUUGUGUUAAAAUUUUACCAUUAAAGUGUAUUAUAACAUGAA